rnacentral:rRNA from 1 species
UUUAAUGAGAGUUUGAUCCUGGCUCAGGACGAACGCUGGCGGCGUGCCUAAUACAUGCAAGUGGAACGCAUGAUUGAUACCGGAGCUUGCUCCACCAUUAAUCAUGAGUCGCGAACGGGUGAGUAACGCGUAGGUAACCUGCCUCAUAGCGGGGGAUAACUAUUGGAAACGAUAGCUAAUACCGCAUAAC